rnacentral:rRNA from 1 species
ACCCUUAUCGGUGGAUCACUAGGCUCGUGGAUCGAUGAAGAACGCAGCAAACUGCGAUAAUUAUUGCGAACUGCAGAAGUAUUGAGCACAAAAGUUUUGAACGCAAAUGGCCGCAUUGAGGUCAAACUCUUUGCAACGUCUGGUUCAGGGUCAUUUUCUCUUAUAGCGGAAGCUUUAAUUUCUAUAAUGAUGUUGUUGCUUUAUAUUUUAAAAGGAUUUUUGUUUAUUCAUGUAUUAAAUCUAACUGUGAAAAUCAAACAAUUUUGACCUGAACUCAGUCGAGAGCACCCGCUGAACUUAAGCAUAUCAGUAAGCGGAGGAAAAGAAACUAAAUAGGAUUCCCCAGUAACGGCGAGUGAAAAGGGAAAAGUCCAUCGCUAAAUCGUUUUGCCUCAGGCAUUAUGAGGUGUAGCGUAUAAGUCGUAAACUUUGAUCUUUUGUCUCAAACAAGUCCCCUUGAUAGAGGUUCCACAGAAGGUGCAAGUCCUGUACGUUGAGAUAAUUGAUCGAUAUUUGCGUGCUUUAGAGUCGGGUUGUUUGGGAUCGCAGCCCAAAGUCGGUGGUAAACUUCAUCUAAGACUUAAUAUUGCCACGAGACCGAUAGCAAACAAGUACUGUGAAGGAAAGUUGCAAAGCACUUUGAAGAGAGAGUUAAAGAGGACGUGAAACCGGUAAGGUGGAAACGGAUAGAGUCGGCGUAUCAUUCAAUUAUUCAGUUACAUUAUUUUUAUGUUGUGACCUCUGAGCUCCAGAUUGGGACAGAGGGAAUCAGCAUAAUUUUUUGUGGUGCAUUUACUUGAUUGGUGCUUGGGGAUGUUUGAGGCAGAUUUGUUUCCGUCGUUUUGAGGCCAGCUGCUGGUACCCAAACGGUGUUAGCAUUUUUUGUCUUGGGCAUUUGAGUAUGGCUCACGUGUAUUUAUUGGACAGAUCUGAGUGUAAGUUACGGUCGCAUGCGACACGUGCUUUUCAAUUAGUUCGGUCCAGUUAAUGCUCUCGUACUCGUUCCCAUGUAAAAGCCGGUCAUCUAUCCGACCCGUCUUGAAACACGGACCAAGGAGUUUAUCGUGUGCGCAAGUUUUUGGGUGUUAAAAACUUAAAAGCGAAAUGAAAGUAAAUGACUCUUUAGAGUCUGAUGUGCGAUCUUGUAAAAAAGUGUAGCAUGGCCCCAUUCUAACUGUUUACAGUAGGGUGGCGGAAGAGCGUACGCGGUGAGACCCGAAAGAUGGUGAACUAUUCCUGAGCAGGACGAAGCCAGAGGAAACUCUGGUGGAAGUCCGAAGCGGUUCUGACGUGCAAAUCGAUCGUCUGACUUGGGUAUAGGGGCGAAAGACUAAUCGAACCAUCUAGUAGCUGGUUCCCUCUGAAGUUUCCCCCAGGAUAGCUGGAGCUCAAGAGUAGUUAUACUCGGUAAAGCGAAUGAUUAGAGGACUUGGGAACGAAAUGUUCUUAACCUAUUCUCAAACUCUAAAUGGUUAUGAUGUCAAAGUUGCUUGAUUUUGAACUUUGGCGUUGAAUACGAGCUCCAAGUGGGCCAUUUUUGGUAAGCAGAACUGGCGAUGUGGGAUGAACCAAACGCGGAGUUGCGGUGCCAAAGUAUCCGCUCAUUAGACCCCAUAAAAGGUGUUGGUUGAUACAGACAGCAGGACGGUGGCCAUGGAAGUCGGAAUCCGCUAAGGAGUGUGUAACAACUCACCUGCCGAAUCAACUAGCCCUGAAAAUGGAUGGCGCUGGAGCGGGUCACCUAUACUCUGCCGUCAUAAGCUUGUAUUUUGUUAAAAAGUCUUGCAAUGACGUGUAAGAGGGUCGUAGUGGUUGCGUUGAAGGCUUUGGGUGUGCACCCAGCUGGAGCUUCCACUAGUGCAGAUCUUGGUGGUAGUAGCAAAUAUUCAAGUGAGAUCCUUGAAGACUGAAGUGGAGAAGGGUUCCACGUGAACAGCAGUUGAAUGUGGGUCAGUCGAUCCUAAGGCACCGGCUAAAGCCGUCUAGACACUGCGGGGAGAUGAGAUACUUAACGGUAACUUGUCUACCUGGUUGCCGAAAGGGAAGUGGGUUAAUAUUCCCACACCAGGCAUGGGAGAUUGUGAUCCGCGAGGAUUACUUUGCGCGGUGACGCAAACGAACUCGCAGACCUCGUGUGGAGUCCGGGCCAGAGUUCUCUUUUCUGGUUUAGAGAUCAUGUCCCUGGAAGUGGCUCAGCCUGAGAUAGGGAUACUGGUCUUGUAAAGCGCAGCGGUUCCUGUUGUGUCCCGUGUGCUCCACAUGAGCCCCAGUAUCUGGCCCGAUUCCCAGGACGUCUCCGUUCCAAGUACUAAGGAAGCCCAGCGUUGCUUAACUUGCCAGAUCGGACGGGAUGGCGUGCUUUCAACGCGGUAUGGUCGU